GACGAACGCUGGCGGUGUGCUUCACACAUGCAAGUCGAACGAGUGGCGGACGGGUGAGUAACACGUGGGAAUCUACCAUUAGGUGGGGAAUAACAGGCCGAAAGGACUGCUAAUGCCGCAUACCUUUUGAUGAGCCCGCGUCCGAUUAGCUAGUUGGUAGGGUAAAAGCCUACCAAGGCGACGAUCGGUAGGUGGUCUGAGAGGAUGAUCACCCACAAUGGGACUGAGACACGGCCCAUACUCCUACGGGAGGCAGCAGUGGGGAAUAUUGCACAAUGGGCGCAAGCCGGAUGCAGCCAUGCCGCGUGUAUGAAGAAGGCCUUCGGGUUGUAAAGUACUUUCAGCGGGGAGGCGUUACCCGCAGAAGAAGCACCGGCUAACUCCGUGCCAGCAGCCGCGGUAAUAC
rnacentral:rRNA from 1 species